AGCAGAGGAAACAUCAUGAGUUUUUAAGGAAGCUUUUCCAGCACCUUUUACUGAAGUGGGCAUGGUAGACGAUUCAUUGCCUAAAUCUACUGAAACAAGCUUUCUUACUUUAAGUCAAGAGAUGAGUCCUCUGGAAAUCAGUUACACCCAUUUGUCCACAAGCAAUUGCUUAAUUUAGAGUACCUUCUAUUUGAGUGGCUGUCUGGUCAAAGUCCUG
rnacentral:lncRNA from 1 species